rnacentral:rRNA from 1 species
UACGAAGGGUGCAAGCGUUACUCGGAAUUACUGGGCGUAAAGCGUGCGUAGGUGGUUUGUUAAGUCUGAUGUGAAAGCCCUGGGCUCAACCUGGGAAUUGCAUUGGAUACUGGCAGGCUAGAGUGCGGUAGAGGAUGGCGGAAUUCCCGGUGUAGCAGUGAAAUGCGUAGAGAUCGGGAGGAACAUCUGUGGCGAAGGCGGCCACCUGGACGAUGACUGACGCUGAGACGCGAAAGCGUGGGGAGCAAACAGG